GGUCCUGAGAGGUUUGGCCCUUGAGGUGCCCAAGAGCUACUGCAGAGCGAGGACAUGGAUGAGAGCCUGAGGUCCUCUGAGGAGUGUUGCUGAGCACCUGUGGGGCUGGAGAUGGCGGCGACAAGUGGCAUCAUGUGAAGACUCGAGAGUUGUUGGACACAGAGAGUGACCUGUCUCUCCUUGGCUUUCCAGAGCCAAUGGCUGUGUGGAACAUGGUGGCUGCCCUGGAUCAACAGCACCUUCUGCAGCUCCAGGGCGUCCAGAUUCACUCGCACCCUCGUCUCCUUUGAGAGCGUGCCCAGAGGGAUCCGUGCUGGAGGGCAGAUGGUUGAUCCAACUCCUCCGGUUUCCCCUGGCCAUAUUCAUGAUGCCCCGCAUCAGUGCAGAAGGUCCUGAGAGGUUUGGCCCUUGAGGUGCCCAAGAGCUACUGCAGAGCGAGGACAUGGAUGAGAGCCUGAGGUCCUCUGAGGAGUGUUGCUGAGCACCUGUGGGGCUGGAGAUGGCGGUGACAAGUGGCAUCAUGUGAAGACUCGAGAGUUGUUGGACACAGAGAGUGACCUGUCUCUCCUUGGCUUUCCAGAGCCAAUGGCUGUGUGGAACAUGGUGGCUGCCCUGGAUCAACAGCACCUUCUGCAGCUCCAGGGCGUCCAGAUUCACUCGCACCCUCGUCUCCUUUGAGAGCGUGCCCAGAGGGAUCCGUGCUGGAGGGCAGAUGGUUGAUCCAACUCCUCCGGUUUCCCCUGGCCAUAUUCAUGAUGCCCCGCAUCAGUGCAGAAGGUCCUGAGAGGUUUGGCCCUUGAGGUGCCCAAGAGCUACUGCAGAGCGAGGACAUGGAUGAGAGCCUGAGGUCCUCUGAGGAGUGUUGCUGAGCACCUGUGGGGCUGGAGAUGGCGGCGACAAGUGGCAUCAUGUGAAGACUCGAGAGUUGUUGGACACAGAGAGUGACCUGUCUCUCCUUGGCUUUCCAGAGCCAAUGGCUGUGUGGAACAUGGUGGCUGCCCUGGAUCAACAGCACCUUCUGCAGCACCAGGUAUCUUUCUCUCUUGCUGCUUUUCCUCUUCUUCUGUUUCUUCUUUUCCAUCUACAGCUGGGCAAUAGCUUGCUUCAGGAUAGAGUUUAGUCUUCCUGGUAGCUGGCUUACGGUUGCACUCGAUGACCUUCAAGGUCUUUUGCAACCUCCAUGAUUUUGAUGAUGUUAUGAUUCCACCUUGUCCACAUCUUGCUUUUCUGCAUCGUGGCCCUCUUUCUUCCCUUUGUCUUCUUUGCGGAGAAGACGUUGGGCUUGGGGAGGCCGUGGUGGGCAUGGGUGGGCCUGGGGAAAUCUCGGUGGAUGUGGGGAGAAGACAUGAAUGACAGAGAGGAAAAAAGAAGGGGAUGAAGCAGGAGUUGAUGGCACACAAGGCUGUGCUUGUGGAUUAGAAGGGUGCAAGUGUGGGUCAGGCCUCGUAAGAGGCUGGCCAGGGAGGUGGUGGAGUCACCACCAUCUCUGUAAGAGUUUGAGAAGCGUGUAGAUGUGGCGCUUCAGGACAGAGUUUAGUGGUGAUGCUGGUUGACUUUGGGUUGCAGUGGCUGAUGCUAAAGGUGUUUUCCAACCUUCACGAUUGGAAUGAGUCUUAAUGACUCUAUGCUUCUGCAUCAUCCCCUUCUUUCUCUUCUGCGUUGUGCCCUUUAUGCUCUGCGUCGUGGUCUCUUGCGUCG